rnacentral:lncRNA from 1 species
GCCCCAUAAUCAGCCUUAAGUAAACACAGGGGAGGGUGAUAAUAUGACUAGAUUGAGCACUGCAAAUUCCCUUAAAUACCAGUCAUGUCAUGGUACUCGCCUCCUCGCCCCCUGUCCUGCUGGCCUUUGGAUGGGAUGGCCUCUUCAUCGCCUCUCAUCAUACUUACCACUUCCCCACUAACUCCCCCCUUGCCUCCCCUUUCCAUUAUACUGCACCUGCUGGAAACUCCCACUGCCUCCAACACCCUAUAGUGGUAGUAGUAACAGUAGAGGAGAGCAAAAAAAGAAAAAAAAACAUAAAAAUAAUAAUAGUAACACAACAGAAAAUAAUAGUAACUAUUCCAUUAAACAACAUAAAUAUAAUAAUAGUCACUAUUCCAUGGUGAUGGAAUGCUGUUCCAGUAGGUUGGAAUACUUGCAGAUUGAUUUUUCACUCAUAUUCAAAUAUAUGAAUAUACGGGCAGUUUUGAGCGGAUUGCAUGAUAUAAAACGUUUUUCAUUAGAGUUGGGCUUAUGAAGAGUCCGGUGCGGUUGAAUUGCGUCAGCAGGCGGAAAGAGGAGAGACCCGACCAUUGCCAUGAAGUCUAGAGUGAUCCCCAAAGACAAACACAAAAGUAAUUAAUGAACAAAAAUAAUAGUAGUAAUAAUAAUAAUAAUAAUAAUACUAAUUAGCACCACCCCAGAUUUCACUGUGAAAGUAAUCUGUAAAACGUACUGUUGGAAGGCGGCGUAUAGAUUGUUGACUCUGCGACGAGGAAAGGUGGGCAGAUUAAACAGGAUCUUGCGGACUUGGCCAGUGCGGAGCACAAUUCAUAGCCAUGUAUGUGUUUAUUCACUGCGAGUUCGACAAGGUUAAGUCUAGCAGGUUAGUAGCAUCAGCGAGGGGGGUUCAAUUACCUCUGCACUACACCAGAAUGCGCCUGAAAUGCUGACAACCUCUUUAGGAGUUAUAAGAGGCUGUAACCAAGGUACCCUGGUACAAUGAUAAGUAUCAUGUUGAAGCAAGUCGAUUACAAUGCUUGUGGUCCAUUACUCUAAAUUCCGAUUCACUGAAAAAUAUGUGGUUGAUUGAUGAGGUUGGCAUUGCCCCAAC